AAGCAUGGUCCUUAAGAUCGCCUUCCUCUGAUAAUUUUUUAUAAAAUCAUCAAUUGUGGAAGCGUUUCGAGUCAUAACCAUGCGAUAUUGAACACGUAGUUUCAGAAAGAGGUCUCUUCUUUCUUGAAACUUUUCCUUCUUCGCUUCCGUGGUGCAUUCAUCGCUCGCCCCACCAUUUAGUUCUUCUGGGUAACCGGACAUGUCAUCAUAUCUAGUCUUCUCAGGAGUUCUACUAUGCACGGGUGCCCUCAGAUAAUGCUCCGGAUAGAGAGGGAAAGAAAUGACCUCUGAUUUUUUUUUCUAUUUCGAAUGUUUGAUAUGGAUUAUGAUAUUCGGUCUACUUUUGGUGAAUAUUCGUUUAGCGUGGCUGGAAUGAGGAAUCAAUUAGAUGCAUGAAGUGGAUAUUCCAUAUGAAUUAACUUUUUGAGGCAUAAAAACUGUCUGACCUGCCACGUUUGCUACCGUUUAUUUUUAUUUUUUUAGUCUAAUAACCAGGGUAUGUGGUGGGAAUGAUGAAUCAAUUAGAUGCGUGAAGAUAGAUUUAUCUAUUGAACUGAAUUUUUGAGGCAUACAAGUUAUCUGAUCCGCCACAACCCAGCUCUUUAAAAAUUAAGUGUGACCGUUUCGUAUUUUGUCAAGCAAGAAUGGGUCUGAGCUUAUGUCAUGCGAGAAUUAUUUUCUUCCGGAUUACAAUUUUUAUCAGAUUUAAUAGCCAGGUUAAUGACUAACUUUUUUAUCUUUAGGUGCUAUGCUAGGCUUCACCCGAGGGCUGUGAACUGCAGGAAGAAGAAGUGUGGUCACUGCAACCAGGUAGAUUUCUCUCCGCCUCCAAGAGAGAACAUGAAGUUGAUUAUUUUUCACUCGUCAAUGUCUUUCCCCCCCCCCUAUUGAUUCCAAUUCUUUUCCAAUUUUGCUUUCCAGUUGAGGCCGAAGAAGAAGAUCAAGUAAACUCCUCAUCAUGCUGCUGUCGCUUGUGCUUUUUUUCAAUUCUAUUAUUACCAGACACUUGAAGCACCUUGGAUGAGAUGGUAGAUUUUGAGAAGAGACGGUUGUAAUGCGUUCUUGCUCUAUCUAGCUUUUUUUUCUGCGUUUGAGUCAGACCACCCCCCAACCCCCGGCGCGGACGACGAACAGUCAAAUGUCUUUCCUUCCUUUGAAUUUACCUUCCCAUUUUAGUCAUCUACCUCGAUCCCAUGGUUUGCUUAAUGGGGUGCCCACCAAUUCAUUUGGAGGCGAACCAUAGUGGCUAGUGGUGCCUUAGAUACGAAUCCCGUUGUGAAGUUUAUGAAUCGCAGAGGGUAAAACAUCAUCGUCUGGGCUUCCUCUGGAGUUUGAUCCGGAGCUUGAGGACGAGACGGUUCAGCAAGCAGCAGGUCAGUUGAUGCUGGGGGAACCCAUCUGCCACGCUCGCAGCUGGGAGACCUUCACCGUAGCCUCCCCGUUGUUGAAGGUGUAGAGGUGAGCAGCGUCUUCCACAGCGUGGACGGGGUAGACCCUGGACGUGAUGCAGGUCCUCCCUCCUCCGCCGAAGCUCUCCACCACGGAGGCGUCGAUCUGCGUGCGGCGAGACCAGGCUAAGAUAGAUGGGCAUGUAUAUUAGGGUUCUUAGAGGAGGAGGCGGAUUGCUCUUCCGGGGGGUGUUACCAAGGUCCUCAGAGAUAUCUUCCCAUCUCUCUUGAUGUCCACGUUCAGUAGUCCUCCAAACGACGGCUUCCACACGUCGGGAGUAGUCGUCGACCUGUGUAGACAGAGAGUGUGAGCAAAAGAUGGAACCUUAGCGAGAGAGCGAGAGGGAGAGAGAGAGAGGAACCUGGUGGGAUCAUGGCACAUGAGAACGACGUGCUUGUGGGGCGUCCGGAACACCCUGAAGAAGACGGCAGUGCGCUCCUUCAGGUCCCCCGAAGCGAGAACCCAGAGGCCGAAGGGCCCCACUCCGCCUCGCACGUCGGCGCCCUUCCGGCGGCACAGCGACUCCGCGUCCGUCCAGCCAGCGUCGAGCCACUCUGCCUUCUCCAGCCCCCUCACAUCGAACGUCAUCUCCACGUCCGUCNNNNNNNNNNNNNNNNNNNNAGAGAGAGAGAGAGAGAGAGAGAGAGAGAGAGAGAGUAACCUGUGAGGUGCGGAUGCCCUUAAUUUCGAAGUACCUUCCUUUCCGCAGCACCACGUUGUGAGCUCUGACUUCCUUGCCCCUGAGCCUCUCCAGCUCCUCCACCGGCCACUGCACCAGCUGCUCCCCUCCAUCGUCGAGCCAGACACUCCUUGGAAUCGUCUGCAGCGGAGCCACUGUUACCCACCGGCGCAUCGGAAGGAAGGGCAAGAAAAGUUAUCACCUGAACGCCGGCCCAUCCCUUGGCGACAUCACUGGACCUGCUGUCUGACUCGUUGGACCAGCCCCACAGGAUCCUCCUCUUCUUCGCCGGGUCAAAGAAGGUCUUCGAGGCGUAGAAGUUGCCGUAGUCGUACCUCAGCCCAGUGCGGUCGUCCACCGACCCCUUGUCCGGCGCAUACCUCGCUGCCGCCGGGUAAUACUUCCCCACCGUAUAGUAGUCGUAUCUGGUCACAUCCAGGCUCACCUUCAGGACGUGCUUCACAGGCCCGCCGCUUGCGGAGGUAUCGAGCCCGUUCCUCCUCCGCAGCGCCACCGGGUAGAAAUCGGGGCACUCCCACAUGCCGGUGCCGGCGGCGGAGUGCAGCGGGUGCUUGGCCUUGACCCAGUGGAUGAAGUCCCUGCUCCGGUAGAGCACCGCCAGCCCCCGGGAGCCCCUCUUGCUGCCGACCGCCACGUGCCAGUGCCCGUCGCCGGCCAUCCACGCCGUCGUCGGGUCCCGGAAGGCGCUGGCGUUGACUCCGGCGUCGGGGGCGAUGACCGGGUUGUAGCCCGGUUUGACCCAUUCCCGGAGGAAGGGGUCGGAGAGGUUCUUCGGGAAGGCGAUGUUCUGCACCUGUCUGUUCAGCGAGUCAACGCCGGUGUAGAGGAUGGCCGGCCUGUCUCCGGGGAGGAUGGUGGCGGAGCCCGACCAGCAGCCGUUGACGUCGAAUGGCUCGGAGGGGAAGAUGGCCGGCUCCAGCGGGGUCCAGUUGACCAGGUCGGUUGAGACAGAGUGGGCCCAGACGAUGUUCCCCCAGACUGCGCCUUUGGGGUUGUACUGGUAAAAGAGGUGGUAGACCCCUUUGAAGUACAUCGGCCCUGCAAGAAAGUCGCAGAGGUCAGAAACCAAGCGCUUCUUUCCUUUUGGAGCAACAAAAAAUUUU
rnacentral:lncRNA from 1 species